GGGGGCUGAGUCGAUGGUGGUGGAGGGAGAUUCGAUGACGGUGAUGAUCGGGCUUCAGGAGGCCUAUGAUUAGAUGGCAUCUCUUCAUCCCUUGGUGCACGACAUCCAGAGUUUGCUUCUUAGGUGCUCUUCCUAUAUGAUUCGCCACACUUUUCGUGAGGCAAACAGUGCGGCAAACUGGAUAGCUUCGUUUGUUGCUCACCACUCUGAUGGAAGUUGGACAGAUGUUUCUUGUUUGCUUUUGUCCUUUUGAAACAUUCUUUUUUCUGAUACUCUUGAUU
rnacentral:lncRNA from 1 species